AGAACGAACGCUGGCGGCAGGCUUAACACAUGCAAGUCGAACGCGUGUAGCAAUACACGAGUGGCGCACGGGUGAGUAACGCGUGGAUAUCUGCCUUUUGGUUCGGAAUAACCCCGGGAAACUGGGGCUAAUACCGGAUGGUUCCUACGGGAUAAAGAUUUAUCGCCAAAAGAUGAGUCCGCGUCCGAUUAGCUAGUUGGUGGGGUAAUGGCCUACCAAGGCGACGAUCGGUAGCUGGUCUGAGAGGACGAUCAGCCACACUGGGACUGAGACACGGCCCAGACUCCUACGGGAGGCAGCAGUGGGGAAUAUUGGACAAUGGGGGCAACCCUGAUCCAGCCAUGCCGCGUGAGUGAUGAAGGCCUUCGGGUUGUAAAGCUCUUUUGGCGGGGACGAUGAUGACGGUACCGCAGAAUAAGCCCGGCUAACUUCGUGCCAGCAGCCGC
rnacentral:rRNA from 1 species